rnacentral:lncRNA from 1 species
GGCUCCUCACUCUGCCCCCAGCAGUAUUACGAAGACGGAGCCCGGAUCGAGGCCGCCUUCCGGAACUACAUCCACCGCGCAGAUGCCAGGCAGGAGGAGGACAGUUACGAGAUCUUCAUCUGUCACGCCAACGUCAUCCGCUACAUCGUGUGCAGAGCACUGCAGUUUCCUCCUGAAGGCUGGCUCCGGCUCUCCCUCAAUAAUGGCAGCAUCACCCACCUGGUGAUCCGACCCAACGGCCGAGUUGCGCUCAGGACCCUCGGGGACACGGGGUUCAUGCCUCCCGACAAGAUCACUCGAUCCUGAGGGCUCCGGCCUCUCCUUCCCUCUGUCCUCCCUGCACAGGCCGCACACACUUAACGUUUUGUUCCCAAGGAGACCGGCGGAAAGUAGAAACCUGCAAUGCUGCAUCUGGGAACUGACUUGUGACCAGGCUGAGAAGGGGAGAGUUGGGAUCAGACAGCCUGACUUCUCUGCAGGGUUUUAUACCUGACCAUGAACCCCCAGGAUGGCGUGGGGUUUAAGGUGAAAGCGUCUCACGCACAAGUCAGGCCUGUUGUGG